GACGAACGCUGGCGGCGUGCCUAAUACAUGCAAGUAGGACGCUGAAGGAGGAGCUUGCUCUUCUGGAUGAGUUGCGAACGGGUGAGUAACGCGUAGGUAACCUGCCUGGUAGCGGGGGAUAACUAUUGGAAACGAUAGCUAAUACCGCAUAACAGUAGAUGUUGCAUGACAUUUACUUAAAAGGUGCAAUUGCAUCACUACCAGAUGGACCUGCGUUGUAUUAGCUAGUUGGUGGGGUAACGGCUCACCAAGGCGACGAUACAUAGCCGACCUGAGAGGGUGAUCGGCCACACUGGGACUGAGACACGGCCCAGACUCCUACGGGAGGCAGCAGUAGGGAAUCUUCGGCAAUGGACGGAAGUCUGACCGAGCAACGCCGCGUGAGUGAAGAAGGUUGUCGGAUCGUAAAGCUCUGUUGUAAGAGAAGAACGAGUGUGAGAGUGGAAAGUUCACACUGUGACGGUAUCUUACCAGAAAGGGACGGCUAACUACGUG
rnacentral:rRNA from 1 species